UUCAGUUUCUUUCUACUUAAAGCAAAUCGAGAGGGAGAGUGCUCUUAAAGUUCACCACGAAAAGUUACAAGCUGGGAGAAAGAAUAGAUGCUUAAAAUGAAAGGAAAAAGUUAAUGGCCAUCAUAGCCCAAAAGUUUGAUUUGGUCAUUUUGGUGUGCCCACGGAAGAGGUAAUGUACAUCUACUGACAAUUAUUAAAAUUUCGUUAUCAUUUCCCUCCCAGUAUUAGCUUACCAAAAUGCACUAAAAAAUUUUAAGUUUUGUGUUUCAAACGAAAUAUCAUCCUGUACUAUGUUUUACUCUGUUUUGUUAUUGAUUUGUUUGGCUUCCUACUACAUCUUAUUUCAAAGUGAUAAGAAAGGUUUCAGAAUGAGUUUGGGGUUUAGCCCGUUCAUCUCAGCUUUUUUUGCUUUCCCCCUUCAGAAUCAGGUUUGGAUUAUUAAAAUUUAAAUAAUUCUUUCUGAAGUCUCAUGCUGAAAAAAAUGACUAUUUUUCAUAACGAGAGGAAUUAGAUAUACACUUUAAAUACAAGUUAAUUUGAUCCUAGUUAUUGUUAAUUACCUCCCUUAAUUAGGAAACACAAACUAACUUUUACUAAAUAAAAAAUGCUAUAACGGAUAAAGAAAAUUUUUAUGGGUUAAAAUAAGAACUAAUAUUUGUAGGCACUAAAAUAUUUACGUGAAACUUGUAUUUUAGCAAAUUUCUUUUCUCUUUAAACAAUAUUUUAAAUAAAAAUAGGAUUAUUUUCAGUUUUCAUUAUAAUUUAUUAAUUAGAAUGCAUUGUUGGUACGAAGACUUAUAUUAUAAAUUUAUUGACUUUCAUAUAGUAGCUAAUCUAAAUGUAAUAGUAGAGAUUUUUUUUUUAAUUUGUUAACCGUGACCAAAUUUUUAUAAUUAUAGUACAUGAAGAAACUUUUUUUUACUAACCUCAAUUAAUUCUCUUAAUUAUUCGAUCAGAGAAUAAUGACAAAUGGUGAUUGAAUUGCUAAUCACUAAAAGCAAAGUGACAUAUAUCUACCAACAAAAAUUAUCACUAAAAGUCUAAAAUUUGUAAGUAGAUGUAAAUGACUUUGACCUACCAAAGUUUUUGGUGUCAACUUUAGGGGAGCAUAUAGGAACGGUUAAUAGUUUGUCACAAUAGGCUUUUGUUGAAAAAUUACGUAAAUUUCUUAUAAUCAGAUUUGUGAGAAAUAAAAUAAAUGCGGACUAAUAACACACAAAAUUGAUAACGAAGUUUAACUAAUUAUGCCUACGUCUCCGGGCUAUUCCAAACCUUUUAUUGAAAAGGGAAAAAUAAAAUAGUGUUUACAAGCACUCAACCCACAACCCAUUACACCCAGAAAAUAAAAACAAUGUUUUCUCUUAUUAAAGCUUUUCUCUCAAUAAAUCCUUUCUCUCUAUUACUCUAUCUGUUGGAACAAUUUACAAAGAAACUAAUAGGUGUUAUUUAUAUGGGAAGUAAGAACUUAUCUUUCGAACAUAUCUUUUUCUAUUAUUUUGCUAACUAUUUCUUAAUUGGUUUUCCUACUUUUUCUCUCUAAAGAAACAAUAUCAUUCACUUAAUUUUUGGGUGGGUUGUACGAUCACCUCCAAUAAUCUCCCACUUGAAGAUUAAUUUCAAUUUGUGUUCAAACCUCAAUCAAUACAACCACCUUAUCUAGUUUGUUAUUCUAAUAUGCCAACUAAAGUUAAGCACAACUUCAACCUGUCAAUGGUUACUACUUUUGUCAACAUGUUUGCUAGGUUCUUACUAGGAUCUUUCUAAUUUUUAGCACCUAAUCGUCGAGCAAAGAUAUGAUGAAGUGAUAACAGAAAUGAAUGUGCUUAGUUCUAGAAUGAAAUGUUGAAUUCUUUGUUAGAUGUAUCACACUCGCUAUGCAAAACACACUUCUCCUAGAUGAAUCCCAGCUCUAUUAACAGUCUAACUCUUUAAUGGCUUUUGUUACUAUAACUUACCCAGCCUCUAUAGUGGUUAAAGCAACAAUCUUUUGUAUUUGCGACAUCCAACUAGCAACUAUAUAUAGUACCAACAAUGAAAAUGUAACCAGUGGUACUUCAUCUCCGAAGUCUACAUCUACGUAGUCUUGUACUUUUAAUUCUCCUUUACCAAAGUACAAACACUUUUGCGGUACCUCGUAGAUACCUUAAAAUCCACAUAACUACUUUCCAAUGAGUUUUUACCUGGAUUUUACAUAAACCUACUUACAACUCCCACUGCAUGGCUCUUAUCUAGCCUUGUACAAACCAUCGCAUACAAAAAACUUCCAAGGGCUGAAGUAUACAUAACCUUAGCCAUGAACUCUCUUUCUCUAUCUGAUGUGAUUGAUCCUUGAAUAGGCGACAAUAACUAAUUAACCAAAGGUGUCCUAACUAGCCUGGCAUUUCCCAUGUUAAAUUUUUUCAAAACAUGGUUGAUGUACUUUGCCUAAGAUAACUACAAAAUCCUUUUAGCUUAUCUUUAGAGAUUUGCAUUUCAAGGAUCUAUUUUGUUGGAGCCAAGUUCUUCAUUUCAAAUUCUUUUGACAAUUAUUGCUUCAAACUUUCUAUCUCGUCCAUAUCUAGACUUGGUACGAACAUAUCAUCAACAUAAAGUAACAAAAUGAUAUAAAUUGAUUUAAAUCUUUUGAAGAAGCAAUAGUGAUCAACAUUGCACUUCUUGAAACCUUCCUUGUGCAUGAAACCAUCAAACAUCCUUUACCAAUGUCUUGGAGCUUGUUUCAAACUAUACAAUCUUUUAUUCAAUUUGAACACCAUAUUCCUUUUCCCUUAUUUUGAGAAACCUUCAAGUUGGUGCCUGUAAAUCUCUUCAUCUAAGUCUCUAUGAAGACAUCUAGUUUACCCAUCCAAUUGCUCAAGGUAGUGUUUUUCACUAGCAAAAAUUGAUGCAAUCCUCCCAAGGAGGGGACCCAUCACCAGAGCCAUUGCUAGGGGACUCCAAGAAGACUAGGCCAGAGAUGCAGGAGAAGGCUCUAGGGUUCUCAUGAGCCUUAGGAUAGAUUUUGGACCCAUGGGUUAAGGAUGAGUCCACUUAUAUUUGAACAUAUUAAAUUAGGGUUUCAUUAUUUUUGGGUCUUGUAUUUUGGGCUACAUAAUGUAGGAAGAGUACCCUAGUAAUGUAGGAUUUUUCAGCCCUUAUAUUUUAGGGCACCUAGACUAGUUUUUGUAUUGGGGGUAGUUUUGUAAUUUCAUAUGCAUGAAGUGCAUUGUUUGAUAUGUGUGUUGGGAGAGAAAUUUAAUUGAAUUGGUAGAAGCCCAAUUCAAUUAAAUUUCGGACCAGCCUAAAGGGGAGGUGAGCAUUUGCUUGCUACGCCUCAUUGCCACAUCAUAUAGUCAUACUUUGUGCAUGUUCUUCAUGCUUUACAUGCCUCAUGACACCUAAGCACACUUAGUGGAGAAUCUUGGACUUGAUCUUGGAUUAGUGGGCUGAACCAUAGCUGAAAUUCACUAAUCAUAAUUAGUGAUAUUUUGGCUCCACAAAUUUAAAUUCAAAUUCAAGUGAUAUUUGAAUAGAAAUUCAAAUUUCCCUCCAAUUUUGUGUGACACUUAGGCUAUAAAUAGAGGACUUGUGUGUGCAUUUUUUCAACUUUGAUCAUUUGAGAAAUUAGACUUCAAAGUUCAGACCUCAUUUGAGGCAUAAAAUUCAUGCCCCCCUCUCUCCCUCUCCCUCCACUCAUCUUCUCCUACCUUCAAGCUCUUAUCCAUUGCCUUCUAUGGUGGUGAGCUUGUUCUUGACUCAUCUUCUCCUUGAAGUGGAGUCUCCAAUCACCUUUCCUCCUUCUCCAUUCUGCUGUCAUUGAUCUUCAAGAAGCAAAGGACUCCAUUGAUCAAGAAGAUUCAAGGCCUACAAGCUCUAGAUGAAGCUACAUCAACAAUGCUUAUGAUGGACCUAAUAGUAUUUAGCUUCACAACUGGAGUAAGGAUUUCAGGGUAGUCAACUCCUUCAUUUAUUGAAAUCCUUUGACAACUAGUCAAACUUUGUAUCUUUUGAAGCUAUCAUAUGCUCCUCCUUUAUUUACUUCAUAAACCAAUUUGUUGUGAAGUGCUUUCUUUCCCAUGGGUAACAUAGAUAGUUCCCAUUUUUUAUUAUAGAACAAAGACUUCAUCUCAUCUUUCAUGGCAAGCUAGCUCUUAUUUGUUGGCGUGUACUAUUUGACAUGCUUCCUCAUAGUUUCCAAGCUCCUUUCAUCAGCCAACAAUAUAUAAUUUGGCUAUUUCUUGUUAGGUACAUAAAGAACAUAUUAACGCUUUGUGUCCUCCUAAGGUGGAGUUCACAUUUGCCUCUGCCUUCACCUCUUGAUUUGUUGAUGCAAUCUUGCAUUGAUUUUUGUAAUGCUCAGUCUUUCCACAGUUCCAAUAGUCAAUAGUGUUUGAGUUAUGGGAACUUCAAUGAUUCCUGGAUUUGGACCUUCUAUAUUUUGAUUUUCCACUUCCAUAUCCUUUGGUUGAAUUUCCUCCUCUCAACUCUAUGUAAAACUAAAGAGGUUGACGAUUCACCCGACUCUCUUCCAUAUCCUUUGCUUUCUGGUUUAUUUCUUGAGAGAGGUUAAUACAUUUUCUUUUGAUACAAAUAAUCUUCGAUUUGCCUAUUCCAAAAGCUGAAGUCCACACCAUUGAACUUCUUAAUUUUCACCUUUCCUUCUUUUGCAGCCAUUACUCCUACUCAAAUUUGACUCCCUCUGGAUCAUUUGUAAUAACAAACAAAAAUAAAAACCAAGCGCCAAUACCAAUUGUUUAGAAAUUAUGCAAAUUUCCUAUAAUCUUAUUUGUGAGAAAUAUAAAUGCAGAAUAAUAACACAUAAAAUUGAUAAUGGAGUUUAGCUAAUUAUGCCUACGACUCCAAACUGCCAAAGACCUUUUAUUGAAAAGGAAAAAUAAAAUAGUGUUUGCAAGCACUCAACCCAUAAUCCAAUUACACUUAGAAAAUAAAAAUAACAUUUUAUCUUACUAAAGAUUUUCCCUCACUAAAUCCUUUCUCUCUCUCUCUCUCUCUCUCUCUCUCUCUUUUCCUGUUAGAAUAAUUUACAAAGAAUCUAAUGCAUGUUAUUAAUAUGGAAAGGAAGAAGUUAUUCUUAUCACAUUGAUUUUCCUAUUAUUUUCCUAACUAUUUCUUAAUUGGUUUUCAUAUUUUUUUUUCUCUCAAUGAAAAAACAAUAUCAUUCACUCAAUUUUUAGGUGGGGUUGUACAGUCAUUAUAAGUGGCACUUAUAAUUUCAAAUGUGUAGUAAAAUGUAUUAACUUCUACCUACAACCUUUGACUGUAGGUAAAAGUCAUUUACUUUGUACUUACAACCAACUGUCGCAACCUACCCUUCGGCGGGAGGGCGACGCGAGACUCGCGGGAUGCGUGUUCCACGAAAGGAAUACGCGCGGAGUCGCCACCAACGUUUAUUUGAGGAAAACGUCGGAAAAACCGGAAAAGACGCGAUCUACGAACUUUUUAGUGAAAAGGUUCGGGAGUUGUAUUUACGCACGGGGAAGGUAUUAGCACCCCACACGUCCGUCCCAAGGGACGGCAGCCUUUAAUCGAAUGUGCAAACAUGACUUUGAUUUUUUAUGUUCCUUUUUACAUUUCUAUGUCCUUUAUACCCUUUUUAUAUUUUUCUCUUUUUGUGGUCGA
rnacentral:lncRNA from 1 species